rnacentral:rRNA from 1 species
UGCGUAAUAGCUCACUGGUCGAGUGACUCUGCGCCGAAAAUUUAACGGGGCUAAAUCGUACACCGAAGCUUGGGAAUAUCAGUUAUUCUUCAUGGACUUGCAAGGAAAGAGACCAUGGCACGAAGUGCCAUCAAAUUGUCCAUAAGGAUAAAGCGAGCUUGUGAAGAAUAACUGAUGUUGGUAGGAGAGCGUUGAAUGCGGGGUGAAGUCAGAGCGAAAGCGCUGGUGGACUGCAUUGAAGUGAGAAUGCCGGAAUGAGUAGCGAGAUUUAUGUGAGAAUCAUAAAGGCCGAAAGACUAAGGUUUCAGAAGGAAGGUUCGUCCGCUUCUGGUUAGCCGGGAGCUAAGGUGAGGCCGAAAGGCGUAGCCGAUGCACAUACGGUGGAGAUUCCGUAGCCGUCAAAAUAUUUAAGCAAAGGGACACUUAUGAAGGGCAUGACCUGGGCGAUGGUAGCCCCGGGCGUAAGGGACCGAAAAUAAGUAGGGAAGCAUGUUUGGAAUAAGGCGAGAAAAGCUUUGUGAAUAUAUGAGACGUCCGUACCGCAAACCGACACAGGUAGUCAGGAAGAGGAUUCUAAGGCCAACGGGAGAAGGGUAGUUAAGGAACUCGGCAAAUUGACCCCGUAACUUCGGAAUAAGGGGCGGUGCGUAAGCACCCGCAGUGAAUAGGUCCAGGCGACUGUUUAUCAAAAACACAGCUCUCUGCUAAAUCGAAAGAUGACGUAUAGGGGGUGACACCUGCCCGGUGCUGGAAGGUUAAGAGGAGGAGUGCAAGCUCCGAAUUGAAGCCCCAGUAAACGGCGGCCGUAACUAUAACGGUCCUAAGGUAGCGAAAUUCCUUGUCGGGUAAGUUCCGACCCGCACGAAUGGUGUAACGAUCUGGACGCUGUCUCAACUGCCCACCCGGCGAAAUUGUAGUACCGGUGAAGAUGCCGGUUACCCGCGGCAAGACGGAAAGACCCCAUGGAGCUUUACUGUAACUUGAUAUUGGGUCUUGGUAUUCUAUGUACAGGAUAGGCGGGAGACUGAGAAACAUACACGCCAGUGUAUGCGGAGUCACCCUUGGGAUACCGCUCUUAGAGUACUGAGAUUCUAACCUGCGGCCGUGAAUCCGGUCGGGGGACAUUGUCAGGUGGGCAGUUUG